rnacentral:rRNA from 1 species
ACGGAAGGCAGCAGUGGGGAAUAUUGGACAAUGGGCGGAAGCCUGAUCCAGCAACGCCGCGUGAGGGAUGACGGCCUUCGGGUUGUAAACCUCUUUCACCAUUGACGAAGUCGCACAGUGUGUGUGGUGACGGUAGGUGGGGAAGAAGCACCGGCCAACUACGUGCCAGCAGCCGCGGUAAUACGUAGGGUGCGAGCGUUGUCCGGAAUUAUUGGGCGUAAAGGGCUCGUAGGCGGUUUGUCGCGUCGGAAGUGAAAACACGGGGCUUAACUCUGUGCUGGCUUUCGAUACGGGCAGACUGGAGGGAUGCAGGGGAGAACGGAAUUCCUGGUGUAGCGGUGAAAUGCGCAGAUAUCAGGAGGAACACCGGUGGCGAAGGCGGUUCUCUGGGCAUUCCCUGACGCUGAGGAGCGAAAGUGUGGGGAGCGAACAGGAUUAGAUACCCUGGUA